rnacentral:rRNA from 1 species
GACGAACGCUGGCGGCGUGCUUAACACAUGCAAGUCGAACGGAAAGGCCCUGCUUUUGUGGGGUGCUCGAGUGGCGAACGGGUGAGUAACACGUGAGUCACCUGCCCUUUACUUUGGGAUAACUUCAGGAAACUGGGGCUAAUACCGGAUAGGAGCUCCUGCUGCAUGGUGGGGGUUGGAAAGUUUCGGCGGUUGGGGAUGGACUCGCGGCUUAUCAGCUUGUUGGUGGGGUAGUGGCUUACCAAGGCUUUGACGGGUAGCCGGCCUGAGAGGGUGACCGGCCACAUUGGGACUGAGAUACGGCCCAGACUCCUACGGGAGGCAGAAGUGGGGAAUAUUGCACAAUGGGCGGAAGCCUGAUGCAGCAACGCUGCGUGCGGGAUGACGGCCUUCGGGUUGUAAACCGCUUUCGCCUGUGACGAAGCGUGAGUGACGGUAAUGGGUAAAGAAGCACCGGCUAACUACGUG